GCCCCCCUCAGCCCGACCGCCGCCCGUUUCUUCACUUCUCCCCCAGAAAUCAGCAGGCCAGCACAGCACGUCGGUUAUUUAGGAACCUUUACUCCAGGUUUCAAGACGCGACUGAGGAAGGAGCACAGCUUUGUUCAUUACUGAGAUCCCACCUCCCCGAGCAGUCCCGGGCCUGAGACGGAGGGUCCCGCAGCCUCACGGCUUUCUGCCCUUCUUGCGCAGGGACUGCCCUUCCCCC